rnacentral:tRNA from 1 species
UAAUUUUAUAAUUUACAAUAAAAUAUUAACUUGUGGUGUUAAAAAAGAAUUAUAUUCUAAGAAUGGC